rnacentral:misc_RNA from 1 species
AACGCACGAGACCUGCGGACCUGCGGAAGGAUCAUUAAUGAGAAACUGCCCCUCGCGGGUAGAUCUCCCACCCUUUGUAAACUUACCUUUGUUGCUUUGGCAGGCCCGUCUCCGGACCGCCGGCUUCGGCUGGCCAGUGCCUGCCAGAGGAUUCUAAAACUCUGUCUGUCAGUGUUGUCUGAGUCUAUUUACAAUCGUUAAAACUUUUAACAACGGAUCUCUAGAUCGGAAGAGCACACG